rnacentral:misc_RNA from 1 species
GAUGAAGAACGCAGCGAAAUGCGAUAAGUAAUGCGAAUUGCAGAAUUCCGUGUGUCAUCGAAUCUUUGAACGCACAUUGCGCCCUUUGGCAUUCCGAAGGGCAUGCCUGUUCGAGCGUCAUUUAUCAACCCUCAAGCCCGGCUUGCGGUUGGGUCCCGCCGUGGGCGACCACGGCGGACCCGAAAGGUAAUGGCGGUGCCCGUGGGGCCCUGGACGCAGCGAGCUUCUCGGCACGCGUCCCGGCGGUCCCCGGCGCCGUCUCCACCAAUCCACCACGCAGAUUGACCUCGGAUCAGGUAGGGAUACCCGCUGAACUUAAGCAUAUCAAUAAGCGGAGGA